GUGACCUCAAAUCUGGUAGGACUACCCGCUGAACUUA
rnacentral:rRNA from 1 species